rnacentral:rRNA from 1 species
AGUGAACGCUGGCGGUAGGCCUAACACAUGCAAGUCGAACGGCAGCACAGUAAGAGCUUGCUCUUACGGGUGGCGAGUGGCGGACGGGUGAGGAAUACAUCGGAAUCUACUUUUUCGUGGGGGAUAACGUAGGGAAACUUACGCUAAUACCGCAUACGACCUACGGGUGAAAGCAGGGGAUCUUCGGACCUUGCGCGAUUGAAUGAGCCGAUGUCGGAUUAGCUAGUUGGGGGGGUAAAGGCCCACCAAGGCGACGAUCCGUAGCUGGUCUGAGAGGAUGAUCAGCCACACUGGAACUGAGACACGGUCCAGACUCCUACGGGAGGGAGCAGUGGGGAAUAUUGGACAAUGGGCGCAAGCCUGAUCCAGCCAUACCGCGUGGGUGAAGAAGGCCUUCGGGUUGUAAAGCCCUUUUGUUGGGAAAGAAAAGCAGCAGGUUAAUACCCCGCUGUUCUGACGGUACCCAAAGAAUAAGCACCGGCUAACUUCGUG